UUUUAGAGCAGGAGAUUUGUGGUCACUGGCUGAAUUACUUUUCAUGGCUGUGAUUUUCGCUAUAUUCUUUCUUUUCCCCAGGCAAAGUUAUAAUCAUUUGUCGAUGCUGUUUUUUCCCCCAGUUAUACAUUUGUAUUGUCAUUUUCAUGGCUGCAUAAUAUUCCUUUUAGAUAUGGCAGGAGUUAUUUAUGGAAACAAGCACUGUGGGUAAAAGGGUUGAAAAGGGUGAAGGUUUUAUUUUGUUUGGUUUGAGAUAGGGUCUCAUCUGUCACCCAGGCUGGAGUGCAGUGGCACAAUCACUACAAUCUUGACCUCCUGGGUUCAAGCAAUCCUCCUGCCUCAGCCUCCCGAGUAGCUGGGAUUACAGGCAUGCAUCACCAUGCCCAGCUAAUUUUUACAUUUUUUUGUACAGAGGGGAUCUCACUAUAUUGCCCCUCCUGGGCUCAAGCAAUCCUCCCGCCUCAGCCUCUCAAAAUGCUGGGAUUAAAGAUGCAGACCACCAAGCCCAGCUAUGGCAGGGGGUGGGGGAGAGGUGACAGUUUUGAGGGGCUUAUUGGCAUGGUGCUGGGGAGAGAUGUAGGAGCUAUUUUUCUGCUAGGCACUUCCUGUAGUUCUGGGGGCCCCAGCACCCAGGCAGGCU
rnacentral:lncRNA from 10 species